rnacentral:tRNA from 1 species
GAGGGUGUAGCUCAGUGGUAGAGUGCCUGCCUAGCAUGCACAAGGUCUCUGGGUUCAAUUCCCAGCACCUCCA